GACCUAGCCGCCGGAGCCGCAGCGCCCGCCUCCGUCAAACCUGUCCGCUCCGCCGCAUCUUCCCAAAUCCUCCGCCCUCCAUUACUCCCCCAAGAAUUGACAUGGGGAUUUGAAGGGGCUCUAGAUUGACAAAGGGGUAUGAUGGAUCUGCAAAGGAUUGAUUGAUGCAGUUGAAGGGUGGUUCUGUCUAUUCAUAUACCCAUUUGCUAUUUAGGUGCUGAAAAAUCUGUCAAAGAAGUCAAAGGGGGGAUAU